rnacentral:rRNA from 1 species
UACGGAGGGGGCUAGCGUUGUUCGGAAUUACUGGGCGUAAAGCGCACGUAGGCGGCUUUGUAAGUUAGAGGUGAAAGCCCAGGGCUCAACCCUGGAAUUGCCUUUAAGACUGCAUCGCUUGAGCAUCGGAGAGGUAAGUGGAAUUCCGAGUGUAGAGGUGAAAUUCGUAGAUAUUCGGAAGAACACCAGUGGCGAAGGCGGCUCACUGGACCGUUGUUGACGCUGAGGUGCGAAAGCGUGGGGAGCAAACAGG